GAGGCCUUUCAUCCUCACCAUUGGGGUGAGGGUUUAGGAACUUGGAGUUCCAUAUAAAAAGAGAAAAAACAGCUGCCGCAGAGGAGGUUUUGGAGGGGACGGCUAAGGAAAACUGAGAGACGAGAGAGCGGAAAACAAAACAAAAAAAAAAAAAAACUACAGAGAGAUUGAGGGAAACAGAGGAGGUUUUGAGGAAAAAGGAAAGGGCUAGAAAGGUGGACAGCGGAGAGUAAAAAAUCAGGAGGGUUGCAAACAGAAAAGAAGAAACGGCGAAGAGAGAAAUAGAGGAAAAUCUAGGGGCGGCUGUAGAAGUUUGGAAAAAGGGCAAGAAACCAGAGAGAGAGAUGCAGUGACGGCUGGAAAUCAGAAAAGGAAAAGGAAGGAUCUUCGGUUGGCAUCGCUUGCAUCAGUGUUGGGGUCUCUUGCAACCCAGUUCGUGGAUUUCAAUUGCCAGAGCCGUGCGAUUUCCAGGAGCCUCUACUGUUUCGUUUCGCAGCCCAGGUGCUUUCAGGUUUUGCUGUUUUCCCUGGUCCCGUAACAACUCUUAAAGCUGGUUGUCCUCAGCUUUGUUUGCAUGAUCAAUCUUGUGUCAAAUGACUGGUGCAUGAAUUGUUUAAAACCCAAAGAAAACACCAGGGGAGUUUGCGGCAAAAGCUGCAACAGGAAAACGCAGGAAUGGUUCCAGUGCUUGCGACUCUUUUUCUUAUAUUUGUUCCAGUAGCUGUCUUCCUUGCAUUUCUGUGUAAUCAUGGGGUUUGUUCAGUAGUUUGUUUGAAAGAUUUUAGGGAUGUGUUAACAUCAAGUGAAGCUUUUGGUGGCUGUUUCCAUUCACAAAACAUGCAUGUGUUCAUUGCACUAAGGAUAGGUAGCUGUCAGAUUUCUAUCCUGUGUUGGUUUGUCUUCUUGGAAAUCUGGUUUAGGCAAAUGAUCACAGCACUCCAUCGCAGUUUUUUCGUUUCCUUCCCCUCCCCUCUGUCCCAAGUUGUUGCAUUCAAUUUGAGUUGUUAAAUUCAUUGGUUUGUUUUGUAAGGCUAAAUGGAAAAGGUUGCGGAAAAAUGUUAGCCGAAAGUUGCAGAAAGCUUCAAAGUUGUUGAAUGGUUUUCAUUGCAGAAAUCUUCCUCGUAUGCA